GAUUUGACAAGGUGACCAUCUGUUUUCUCUUUCCCACUUAAUUACAAAAGGAAUGGUACUUGAAGCCCACCAAAAUACCCAGGGAGGAAUGGGAUUAUGACAUAUUCAUUUUCUCUGCAAAGUGCAAACCUAACACUUGCUCAUAUGGCCACAUUGAAGGGGAGCAGAAUUAGCACAUCUGCAACUGAUCUUCCACCACAGCUACUGGGACUGAAGUUAGUUAACCUGAAAACCUAAUGCCACUCAACGAAAGCCCAUUGAAGGGCACCCAAACCACUGGUAAAGCCUCCGUUUAGGAGAAACGAAUGCUCCAUUGGAUAACACCUUAUCUCACUGGCUUGCAUGAAAUCGUCUCCACUCAAGGUCUGAGUUUCUAUCGGCAGAGUUUGUUUGGUGAAAUAUGCUUGAAUCCAAGAGUACAGAAACAACCCCUUGUAAUGGAAAAUACAGAAGACUGGAAGUCGGAAUAUCUAGGUACCAGUUCCAGGUUGGCAAUACUCCCAUAAACAUACAGAGAGAAGGCCACCUAUUCAUGAUACUUCUCUCCUAUUCUUGGGCUCUACUGAAGAAUCUAAGAGGAGGCAUCAGCUGACUCAUCUCAGAUGUUGAUGAUUCUGAAGCAGUAACCUCAAACCCUGCCACUACUACAAGUGAUUCCUUGGAUAUUGGUCAGGUUGAGGACCCUUCAGGCUAACAAUCUCAGAUUUUGUAGUUCUGCUGGUUACUGAACACUUCAGAGAAAAAGAAAUAUUGGCACGUAAAAAGAUGGAGUGACAUAAUGUAGUUUGUUUUGUAAUCAUACCAUUCACUGUUUGUUUUAAAAAUGUAUCAAGCAUUUCAUUUCAUUCAAUCACCUAGAUAGCAAUUAGUAGACAUUGUUCUCAGUACUAUCUAUUUAUACAUAUAUAUAUAUGCAUAUAUAUGUAUCAAUUCUCAUAAAAAUGUCAUGAGAUAACACUAUUAUUGUAUCCUUUUUGCAAAUGAGAACACUGAGGCACAAGAGGUUAUGCCUUUCCAAGGCCACAGAAUGAGUAAGUGGCAGGCCAAGUUUGAACCAACAACCCUUACACCAGAGUCCACAAUAUUAACUAUUGUGUUUCGCUAUGUACACCAAUAGCAUAACAAUAAUAUUAAUAAUAUCUAAAAUUCAAUGAUCCAGGCUAGCCACCGUGCAUAGUAUAUUUUAUCCUUACCACAAUCCAAUGAGGAAGGUAUAAUUAUUACUCCAUUUUAUAUGUGAGGAUUAGGGAGAUUCAAUAAUUUGUCCAAAAACUCACAACCAGCAAAUGGUGGAGCUUGGGCUGAAUAUUGCUGAGAUAAAGAGAUGAAACAAAAAAAUUAUUCUGUUUGAGUUUGUAAUCGUUUAUAAAAGGAGAUAUUUGUUGGUCUGGAAGCAUUGGGAACAUUUUUAGAAGUGUGAUUUUCACGAUCCCUAGAAAUGGAAAGUGAAACUGAAAUUUUGCUUUUCUGGCCUUCCUCAGAUAUUAUGUCUUAUUCCUAAAGGAUUUGGAGAUUUAGUUGUUACUCUGUUAAGUUAAUAAGACCCUGAAUCUUUAAAAAUAUCCAAAGCUAAUUUACUCAUUAUAGGAAACUCAAAACAUUGAAUCCUUUCACAAAGGUAAAAUUAUAUUUCCUUUAAGAAGUGUUUACCAUUCCUUUUUUGAAAGGAAAAUAAUUAGAUAUAUAAGACAUCGACUUUAGAAAAUACAAUAAAAAAUAAGUAAUACUAGCAAAUGUCAUUAUGUCAUCAGGAAAAAUAGAAGUCUCCCAGCAAAAAAAAAAAAAACACAAAUUUUAAAAUUAUCAAUAAAAUAUUAAGUGUAAAGGUUAUACGUAUGCUUAACUAUCAAGCAUUUAAAAUUGUGUUUAUGAAGAUUUUUAUAAACUUGGGGUGAUAUGCAUUUAUGUUAAAGAAAAAAGUAGCCUAAAGCUCUGUACACAGUGUAUAAUUAAAUUCUUUUAAAAAUCCAUUCAUUUAGUAAUUUUUAUGCAUAGAAAGCUUCCGUGGGAACUGUUAACACCACGCACCAAAGGAUACCCCUGAGUGUUAGAAGUAGAAUACCCACUGAACAAGGGAUACCCACCGACUUAGAAGAGUGCUUAUUUUCUUCUUUAUAUUCUUUUUAUUUUUCAAUUUCCU
ensembl:lincRNA